rnacentral:rRNA from 1 species
UACGGGGGGAGCAAGCGUUGUUCGGAUUUACUGGGCGUAAAGGGCGCGUAGGCGGCGCAACAAGUCACUUGUGAAAUCUCCGGGCUUAACUCGGAGCGGUCAAGUGAUACUGUCGUGCUAGAGUGCGGAAGGGGCAACUGGAAUUCUCGGUGUAGCGGUGAAAUUCGUAGAUAUUCGGAGGAACACCAGUGGCGAAGGCGGCUCACUGGUCCAUUACUGACGCUGAGGUGCGAAAGCGUGGGGAGCAAACAGG